UCUUUUCAUCAUCUUUUCAUCAGUUUCUUACAUUUUUAUUUCUCUCUAUCGUACUUUACCCUGUUCUCUUCUCUUUGUCAAAUUUCAUUCUGUAAUUUUCCUUUUAUUUUCUCCAAUAUACUCCUCUGCCAGUCAACAAUCCAAGAGGAAUAUCAACGAACAAAGACAAUACAUUGCAUAACCCGAAAAGACUCGGGAACAAUGACUUGCUCAUAAGAAUAUGACACGCGGUAUUCGAUAUGCACAAAUGUAGCCGAAAAUAAAACAAUAAAUUUUAUUGCAACUGCAAGCUAAAGUGACGACUGUUACAUCAUACAAGUAAUGCACUAUCUUCUUCAGAGGUCGCCAUUCAACCUGGAAACCGAAACUCUACAAUUACUAAUCCUCCGUUAGCUUCCGAGGAAGGUUAGGAAAGUAUAAUAUUUUCAUCCUUCUCAAAGACAUUACUACUACUUAUGCGCAUUUAAUAGGUUCUGCAGCCACAAAUAGAAAUAAUUUCUUCUUUAUCUUUGAAGUAGGCGAGUCCACAAAAAUUUCAAAAUUCCGAUAUACUAAUUGGAUUACUCAUUUUGGUUAUACUUGUCUAUACAUUUAUUAUUCCAUUGCCAGGAUCAACACCAGGUAGAUGUGAUGAAGAAAUUCUCCAAGUCCAGUAGUUUCCACAAAUAAAGAUGUGUAUUUAGCUAAUGUAAAGUUUCUUAGAAUUAAAUCAAUUUGUAAAAAUUACUUUAACAAAAUAAAUAAAAUUGCUUGGAACUGGAAUGUCAACAAGCAAAGUAUGUGGAUUACAUAGAUCACAGUAUACUGAGGAGCAAUAACUCGCUAAUAAAAUUAUAAAACGUCAUAUUAGAUAUGCACAAAUGUCAUUGGAGAUCGUCGGAGAGAAUACAAUUAUUUUUAUUGCAACUGCAACCUAAAAGAGCUGAGUUAAAAAGCCAGUGGCUUUCUCAUCAUUCCAGCAAUGCACUAGCUUCUAGGUAUGUGAUAUUUAAGAUUUCAAAUAAAGUUUGUUUGUAUAUGAAUAUUUGGCAUCUUUUUGGGUCUUCAUUAAGCAUUCAUAUGGCUCUUUCACAAGGUAAAUUCUGUUGCUUAACAAAAGUUGUCUAAUUUCAUACCAAUUGCUUAGGAUGCUGUGCUGCUUGUCUUAUUUUAUUCCAACAGAGGUAAGUGAGUUAUAUUAGUUUUCGUUUUUCAAAUGAAUUUAGGUUAAUUUACACUUCUGUUUUUUAUUUCCAUUUAUUAUUCCAUUGCCAGGAUCAACACCAGGUAGAUGUGAUGAAGAAAUUCUCCAAGUCCAGUAGUUUCCACAAAUAAAGAUGUGUAUUUAGCUAAUGUAAAGUUUCUUAGAAUUAAAUCAAUUUAUAAAAACUACUUUAACAAAAUAAAUAAAAUUGCUUGGAACUGGAAUGUCAGCAAGCAAAGUAUGUGGAUUACAUAGAUCACAGUAUACUGAGGAACAAUAACUCGCUGAUAAAAUUAUGAAACGCCAUAGUAGAUAUGCACAAAUGUCAUUGGAGAUCGUCGGAGAGAAUACAAUUAUUUUUAUUGCAACUGCAACCUAAAAGAGCUGAGUUUAAAAGCCAGUGGCUUUCUCAUCAUUCCAGUAAUGCACUAGCUUCUAGGUAUGUGAUAUUUAAGAUUUCAAAUAAAGUUCGUUUGUAUAUGAAUAUUUGGCAUCUUUUUGGGUCUUCAUUAAGCAUUCAUGUGGCUCUUUCAAAAGGUAAAUUCUGUUGCUUAACAAAAGCUGUCUAAUUUCAUACCAAUUGCUUAGGAUGCUGUGCUGCUUGUCUUAUUUUAUUCCAACAGAGGUAAGUGAGUUAUGUUAGUUUUCGUUUUUCAAAUGAAUUUAGGUUAAUUUACACUUCUAUUUUUUAUUUUCAUGUUGUCUUUUUUCUUUACAGAGUUCCACAUCUUGCUGAGUUUGACCAGAUAAAAAGUUAUCAUAUAGCUGUACUACUAUGUCACCUUUAUCUUUUUUUGUUACUUUGAUCUAAAUUCUUUUCCCUCAUGUAUUUCUAUGGUGCUAAAUGUUUAGUAGAAAAGGUUUUCGUUCUAGAAGUCACUGUACAACUUAUCUAAAUGCCACCUGCUGGUGGCAGUGGGGAGGGGAUGGUUUUAAACAUUUAUUUGGUUUGAUAUUUCAAAAAUAUUGUGUUUACCAUGAUAGUUCAUUUCUACUUCUCAAUUAGAACAUGAUUUCAUUAUUUAGUGCAAGAUCAAGACAUUUUUCAUAAUUUAACGAUUUUGGUUGUUUCUGAUUCUUAAAUCAUAGGUUGCUAAUAUGUUGCGGUUUUCAGUUAUUAAGGUUCCAAUCUCAAUAUUGGGGGCAGAAAUUGACCAAGAUGUCCACCAGGGAGAGCUUGUCGAGCAAUUCGAGAUGGCCUUAAAUGUUAUGCCGGAGACGCCUCGACUUCGAAUAUUAUGCGUACAUCUUGGGUAUUGUUUAUCUUCACAAGCGAUAUACAAUUACUUUUGGGAGAAAGAGUUAGCUACUUAACAAGAUCCCAAAGACGGAAAAACAUCUUUUUGCAAGGACGGGGUGAUAUCAUAUCAUUUACUACUUUUUUCACAGAUUAGUCACUUAAAAAUGUUAGUCGUCGGGAUUCGAGUAUUACUUCAAUCUAAACCAUGUGUUGCAGCACCACCAGAGAGUCUUCUGUCAUUGUAUCAUGGUAUUGCUGAUGCAAACAGGGUAUGGAAUACUAACCUACAAGACUAGACAACUUGAUCACAAAGAGUUUUUGGGCAACUGUGAAGUACAACAGGCAAAUAAGGAGACAACCUUGCAGUAACAUGCAGCAAGUUUAAAAAUAUGCAACAACUAAAGCUCUAGAUUACGUGUUGGAAGGGUACAAUUUUUAUGUCUUUCAUUUGCACAUAUUGCAGAGAAAAUAAACAUAUUAUCCUCAUGUUGUAUAUAAAAUUCUUUGAUCAUGAUUAUUUAUUUUGACUUUAAUAUGGAGCACUUUGUCUUCUA